CAAUUGACAGGAAGCCAGUGACAGCUUUCAGAGUGAAGUGAUUAAGGAAGAACAGAAGACAAGGAAAGUGACCUUCCCCGGCAACAGUGGCUUGGAUGGAUUGAUAAAGGUGUAGUUCCCUACUAGGAGACCAACAAAAAUACAGAAAGGAACUCAAGAAAGACCCAGAGGGGUUAAAUUGUCCUACCAAAAUCCCUAUGCAGGCAUCUGUCCCUGAUGGCUCAUUCAGCAUCCUCAAGUCUUCAGCAAAAAAUCCCCUGGAAGACCCUGCCCUGCAGCCCCUGGUAAGAAGGAUGUCCUCUGGGAAGGUCCAUGAACAGGAUCCUUGGAUGGGCAUGUUGUCUGUGACUCAGGAAUCUAAGAAACUCAGUGCCUGGAAAAGUCCACAUCUCUGUGCUAUAGAACAGCCACGCAGUGAAGUACUAUAGUAUUAAUGUGGGAGGCUGUGGAAAUGCCAUCCUGGAGCAUUUUAAGGACAGUUUAGAAAACAGAUAAGGAAUUACAGAUCACACAUGAAGGCAGAAGAGUCUUCCUGGACACCUGGGCAACACUGGCUG
rnacentral:lncRNA from 1 species